ACAUGAAACACCCGCUAACACCUUCUAGUUGAACGAAGACUUGGUGGUAUUCGUAAGCAUUGUCUCAGUUGGUUGUAUUUGUUGAGUACUUUGAAAGGCAACUGGCAACAGGAGAUUUAAUACCAUUACACGUGAAUGUCAGAUCAUAUUGAUAUUUCGUUUACAUUUGAACUGUUUCGAGGUUCAGUUUAAUGUUGUAAUUUACUUAUCCGUAUACUAAGCGUAGAGGAUGGAGUAUCCUAAUCAUGUGCGGUCGUAUGGUUGGUAUCAGGAAGUGUGUUGCUAUUUAACCUGUGUUAUCCGAUCAACGUCCGUUGAACACUCUCAUCAGAUGUAAUAAGCGGAACACACAGCCCUGGGCCUACCAAAAUGGACAAUGUCUAGGAUCUCGGCCAGAGAUGCCUCACUCACCACUUUAUGAAACUCCAGAUCUUGGCCAACCACGACACACUCUCCAAUCUCUGCCAAAGGCUAAGGUCUACGUGCAGACGUUAGAGGACCACAAACAUGGACAUAGUCCUGUAACUCGGCCAGAUGCUGUCACACAUCAGGUCUCAAGCAUGGAUGUCUGACUCUAGAAGGUGUGUUGAAAGUCCAAAGCUUCUUUACCUUUACCAUUUACACCGCUCCAUGUGCAGGAAACCAUACCACUUCAUAUACUACUAUAUGAUUCCCACGAUCUAGUAUCCGAUAAGGAUGCGAAAUCAAUCUCCACUUCUUUUUUCAUAACCAAGAGGGCUCUUUAGGAUUACUUGUUUAGCCAAAUCGCCCAACUCGUUGAUGGUGCAUCGUGUACCUACUGAUUACCGGGCAGCUUUGAGGUGUUGAGGGGUGUUUCAUGUUUCAUGGCUCACACUCCUACAUGAAACACCCGCUAACACCUUUUAGUUGAACGAUGACUCAGUGGUAUCCGUAAGCAUCUUCUCGGCUGGUUGUAUUUGGUGAGCAGUUUUAAUGGCAACUGCCAACAGGAGAUUCAAUACCACUGCAACGAGAAUGUCAGAUCAUACCAAUAUUGUGGUUACAUUUUGAACCGUAUUAUGUUGCGCGGUUUAUCGUAGUAUUUUAAUCAUCCUUGAUGCUAGGAAUAGAUGAUGAAGUAUGUUCCUAAUCAUGUGCGGUUAUAUGGCUGGUAUCACGAAGUGCUUUGUUCAUCUUACCUAUCGGAUCCACUUAUGUCCAAUACUGCCUCAUGGAGUGCGAUAUGCGGAACAGUCCUCAGUCUACCAAAAUGGACAAAGUCUAGGGCAUCAUUCACCAGAGAUGGUUCAAAUCCAGAUCUUGGCCAACCACUUUGAUAGACUUCCCGAUGUCUUCCAACCACUAAUAUCUACGUCCAGAUCUCUGUCGACAACAAACAUGGACCUAGUCAUGUGACUCGGCCAGAUUAUGUCAAACAUCAGAUGUCAAGCAUGGAUGUCUCCAGAAGGUGCCAUUGCUACAGCAGUAGAUCUCACCUGUCUCCCACCUGCUACACCUGUAACGUCAAGCUCAGCAUCUGCAUGUUGUCUACGUACUCUAGCUAUCUUCCACCUGAUCUCUUCUGUCUCCCACCUGCUACACCUGUCAUCAAACUCACCUGUCUCACCGUCACCAUCUGCAUGUUUUCUACGACAUCAUGAAGCACCUGACUGACGCCGUGACCGUCUUCCCUCCAGAAGGAUGUCAGGAUCUCCCAAGGUCCUACAUGCUACAGAACACUGACCGGGAUGUCCUUAAAGAACUGUCAAUCAUCAGUACACUAAUUGAUCUCAGUGUAACUUUAUCUGUCAUUUCAAAGAGUCAGUGUCCCUGGAACAUAAAACAUUACAUUUGGGCAGUACCCUAAGGCAGUCUUUCUUGAAUACAAUUGGGAAAACGUGUUAGAUCUGUCAGAACUGUUUCAGGGUUACAUUACCAAAUAAUAUCUGAUCUAUUUGUCAGACACAUUUAUGUAGGUUUACUGUUACUAAACACGUUGUCUCUUUCGGGCUGUCAGGAGGGUGGAUAUAUACAGGUGUGGUUGAGCCAUGCUACCCUGGAUGUAUUCAGCCAAGUGACAUUCUAAAAACAUUAAUAAUAUAUAUUUUGUCAGGUUUGGAAAUCAAAUGCACAUAGGUUUUGAUGUAUUUAGAUAUCUGGUAAAUGGUCUACAUUUGAGAAUGUUAUUGAUUUUGCCUGUUAGGAGAUUUGAGUGGCAUUCUGAAAAACAUUAAAAAAGUAUAAGUUUUGGUGUAUUUAUAUCUUUGAAAGCGUCUCUAUGUGAGAUAGGAAUUGAUUGUGUCUGUCAGGAGGAUGGAUAUAUACAGACGUAGUUGAGCCAUGCUGCUCUGGAUGUAUACAUUCUACUGACAAUAUAAGGAAGUACAUGCACAAAACGCACAUAGCGUGUCAUACUUGGUUUAAACAAGGCAACUCCGCAUACAUACUUGUCAUAUGUGGGAUGUAUGCAAACGUUUAACGAAAGAUUGAAACCUGUACCAGCAACGGUCGUUGUUUAGCCAGGAGUGAGUGGGUUUGAUUUUACGCCGCUUUUUCGCAAUAUCACGGCGGGGGGCAACAGAAAUGGGCUUCACACAUUGCACCCAUGUGGGGAAUAGAACCCGAAUCUUCGGCGUGACGAGCGAACGCUUUAACCACUAGUCUACCCUACCGCCCCUGUUUAGCCAGGAACAUUAUUAAGCAAGCACAAGAGAUGUGCUGAGACGCCCUCAAACGCUGUGUACACAAGAUGUACAAACGUGUUUCUUAUUAUUUCCAUGUUCCGUGUUCCGUUGUGUUGAUUUUAGUCCCCACCAUACCUCCACCCCGCCCUUCCUCCACCCCAACCCAUCCCCGAUAAAUAGGAUUGUAUUUUCAGUAUCUGUAAUUUGACAGCGUCCCCCGAUUUUGUACAUAGUACAUUGCUGUUCUUCGUCAUUUUCUGUUAUGUUGAAUCUUAUUAUCAAUAAAGCUUUCACUAU